CACGUAGGGCGCGAGCGUUGUCCGGAAUUACUGGGCGUAAAGGGCGCGUAGGCGGCCUGCUAAGUCGAACGUGAAAUCCCCUGGGCUCAACCCAGGAACUGCGUCCGAUACUGGUUGGCUUGAAUCCGGGAGAGGGAUGUGGAAUUCCAGGUGUAGCGGUGAAAUGCGUAGAUAUCUGGAGGAACACCGGUGGCGAAGGCGACAUCCUGGACCGGUAUUGACGCUGAGGCGCGAAAGCCAGGGGAGCAAACGGG
rnacentral:rRNA from 1 species